rnacentral:rRNA from 1 species
UACACAGUUGUACCUUGUGAACCGUACCAAACUAUUCAGGGGUCGGCUUGUCCGUUAAAUGGUCGUCGGACGCGAGAGAUCGCGGCCGCUCGACCGGCCCCGCACGCGUUUUGUUUUUUAUAAACAUAUGUGYACCUGUCUGACCAAGCGUUGCGGCCGGCCCAAGGGUCGGUCGCRGCAAUUAGAGCAAAAAACGAGAUACAACUUUUGACGGUGGAUCUCUUGGCUCACGCAUCGAUGAAGAACGCAGCCAGCUGCGAUAAGUAGUGUGAAUUGCAGAAUUCAGUGAAUCAUCGAAUCUUUGAACGCAAAUGGCGCUCUUGGGUUCUCCCAGGAGCAUGUCUGUCUGAGUGUCGGAUAUCAUCCAACGCACGCCAGCGUGCGGAAUUGAGGCGUCACGGUCCGUACUGCACGGACCGUGUCCCUUGAAAGUCAGAGAGACUCGCCGCGUCGCGGGAAGAUUCCCCGUGCACACCAGCGGAGGCUAAAAUGUCUUUUGCCCUUCGCGUGCCGGGAAGUCGCCGCGUGCGGCGGUCGUCGUCGGGCGAWC